CCUACGGGGAGCAGCAGUGGGGAAUAUUGGACAAUGGGCGAAAGCCUGAUCCAGCCAUGCCGCGUGUGUGAAGAAGGCCUUCGGGUUGUAAAGCACUUUCAGUGGGGAAGAAAGCCUUGGGGCUAAUACCCUCGAGGAAGGACAUCACCCACAGAAGAAGCACCGGCUAACUCCGUGCCAGCAGCCGCGGUAAUACGGAGGGUGCGAGCGUUAAUCGGAAUUACUGGGCGUAAAGCGCGCGUAGGCGGUCUGAUAAGCCGGUUGUGAAAGCCCCGGGCUCAACCUGGGAACGGCAUCCGGAACUGUCAGGCUAGAGUGCAGGAGAGGAAGGUAGAAUUCCCGGUGUAGCGGUGAAAUGCGUAGAGAUCGGGAGGAAUACCAGUGGCGAAGGCGGCCUUCUGGACUGACACUGACGCUGAGGUGCGAAAGCGUGGGUAGCAAACAGGAUUAGAUACCCCUGUAGU
rnacentral:rRNA from 1 species